rnacentral:rRNA from 1 species
UCCCCUAGUAACGGCGAGUGAAGCGGGAAGAGCUCAAAUUUGAAAUCUGGCAGUCUUCGAUUGUCCGAGUUGUAAUCUAUAGAGGCGUUUUCCGUGCCGGACCGUGUCCAAGUCUCCUGGAAAGGAGUAUCAAAGAGGGUGAUAAUCCCGUACUUAACACGACCACCGGUGCUCUGUGAUACGUCUUCUACGAGUCGAGUGGUUUGGGAAUGCAGCUCAAAAUGGGUGGUGAAUUCCAUCUAAAGCUAAAUAUUGGCGAGAGACCGAUAGCGAACAAGUACCGUGAGGGAAAGAUGAAAAGCACUUUGGAAAGAGAGUUAAACAGUACGUGAAAUUGUUGAAAGGGAAACGAUUGAAGUCAGUCGUGUUCUUUGGAUUCAGCCAGUUCUGCUGGUCUACUUCCUUGGAACGGGUCAACAUCAGUUUUGUCCGGUGGAUAAAGGUAGUAGGAAUGUGACUUCUCCGGAAGUGUUAUAGCCUAUUAUCACAUACACUGGGUGAGACUGAGGACUGCAGCUCGCCUUUAUGGCCGGCCUUCGGGCACGUUCGAGCUUAGGAUGUUGACAUAAUGGCUUUAAACGACCCGUCUUGAAC